UGCCCCAGUAACGGCGAGUGAAGCGGCAACAGCUCAAAUUUGAAAUCUGGCCCCUCGGGGUCCGAGUUGUAAUUUGUAGAGGAUGCUUUUGGUGAGGUGCCGCCCGAGUUCCCUGGAACGGGACGCCACAGAGGGUGAGAGCCCCGUCUGGCUGGCCACCGAGCCUCUGUAAAGCUCCUUCGACGAGUCGAGUAGUUUGGGAAUGCUGCUCAAAAUGGGAGGUAUAUGUCUUCUAAAGCUAAAUAUUGGCCAGAGACCGAUAGCGCACAAGUAGAGUGAUCGAAAGAUGAAAAGCACCUUGAAAAGAGGGUUAAAUAGUACGUGAAAUUGUUGAAAGGGAAGCGCUUGUGACCAGACUUGGGCGCGGCGGAUCAUCCGGGGUUCUCUCCGGUGCACUUCGCCGCGUCUAGGCCAGCAUCAGUUCGCCGCGGGGGAAAAAGGCUUCGGGAACGUGGCUCCUCCGGGAGUGUUAUAGCCCGUUGCAUAAUACCCUGCGGUGGACUGAGGACCGCGCAUCUGCAAGGAUGCUGGCGUAAUGGUCACCAGCGACCCGUCUUGAAAACACGGA
rnacentral:rRNA from 1 species